CGUGUAGGCGGUCUUUUAAGUCUGAUGUGAAAGCCCUGGGCUCAACCUGGGAAGUGCAUUGGAAACUGGAAGACUUGAGUACGGGAGAGGGUAGUGGAAUUCCCAGUGUAGGAGUGAAAUCCGUAGAUAUUGGGAGGAACACCGGUGGCGAAGGCGGCUACCUGGACCGAUACUGAUGCUGAGACGCGAAAGCGUGGGGAGCAAACAGGAUUAGAUACCCUGGUAGUCCACGCCGUAAACGAUGAGUACUAGGUGUCGCGGGUAUUGACCCCUGCGGUGCCGCAGCUAACGCAUUAAGUACUCCGCCUGGGAAGUACGGUCGCAAGACUAAA
rnacentral:rRNA from 1 species